rnacentral:rRNA from 1 species
GACGAACGCUGGCGGCGUGCUUAACACAUGCAAGUCGAACGGUAAGGCCCUUCGGGGUACACGAGUGGCGAACGGGUGAGUAACACGUGGGUGAUCUGCCCUGCACUUCGGGAUAAGCCUGGGAAACUGGGUCUAAUACCGGAUAGGACCACUGCCUGCAUGGGUGGUGGUGGAAAGCUUUUGCGGUGUGGGAUGGGCCCGCGGCCUAUCAGCUUGUUGGUGGGGUGAUGGCCUACCAAGGCGACGACGGGUAGCCGGCCUGGGAUGGUGACCGGGCACACUGUGACUGAGAUACUGCCCAGACUCCUACGGGAGGCAGCAGUGGGGAAUAUUGCACAAUGGGCGCAAGCCUGAUGCAGCGACGCCGCGUGAGGGAUGACGGCCUUCGGGUUGUAAACCUCUUUCAGCACCGACGAAGCGCAAGUGACGGUAGGUGCAGAAGAAGGCCCGGCCAACUACGUGCCAGCAGCCGCGGUAA